rnacentral:rRNA from 1 species
UACGUAGGGGGCAAGCGUUGUCCGGAAUCAUUGGGCGUAAAGCGCGCGUAGGCGGCCCGGUAAGUCCGCUGUAAAAGUCCAGGGCUCAACCCUGGAAAGCCGGUGGAUACUGUCGGGCUAGAGUCCGGAAGAGGCGAGUGGAAUUCCUGGUGUAGCGGUGGAAUGCGCAGAUAUCAGGAGGAACACCUGCGGUGUAGACGGCUUUCUGGACCAUUGCUGACGCUGAGACACGAAAGCGUGGGUAGCAAACAGG